GUGGGGAAUUUUGGACAAUGGGCGCAAGCCUGAUCCAGCAAUGCCGCGUGCAGGAAGAAGGCCUUCGGGUUGUAAACUGCUUUUGUACGGAACGAAAAGGCUCUGGUUAAUACCUGGGGCUCAUGACGGUACCGUAAGAAUAAGCACCGGCUAACUACGUGCCAGCAGCCGCGGUAAUACGUAGGGUGCAAGCGUUAAUCGGAAUUACUGGGCGUAAAGCGUGCGCAGGCGGUUUUGUAAGACAGGCGUGAAAUCCCCGGGCUCAACCUGGGAAUGGCGCUUGUGACUGCAAGGCUGGAGUGCGGCAGAGGGGGAUGGAAUUCCGCGUGUAGCAGUGAAAUGCGUAGAUAUGCGGAGGAACACCGAUGGCGAAGGCAAUCCCCUGGGCCUGCACUGACGCUCAUGCACGAAAGCGUGGGGAGCAAACAGGAUUAGAUACCCUGGUAGUCC
rnacentral:rRNA from 1 species